UCCACCGGCCUAAUCCUCCCCGACCAUCUACGCCUCCGCCGGCCUCCCCCUGCCGGAGCUCCUCCUUCCCAUUCUCCCGCACCUCCACCGAUCUCCAACUCCAGCGUCAGCUCCUCUUUACCUGAUCCUCUGCCCAUGCGAAUUUCCUUGAGCUCUCCAUGAUCGCCGGUCUCAUUUUCCCCGUCCCCAAAUAUGGAGCGACGCCGCCACCGGCCGGGAGUUCCACAUGCCCCCCGUAGGCCGGGACUCACGCGCACCACCAGACCGGGUUCCCAGUUCGCCGCCGCUCCAUGUCGCCGCCGCUAUAAUAUCACCUCCUCCUCGCUCUCAGGUGGCGCAGGCAGCGAGGACGGAGACGGCGGCCUCAACCACGUCCCCAGAAGCGACGCCAACAGCUACGGCGUGAUGGAGAAGGAGCAUGAGGCCGUGGAGGUGGGUCUGCCGGCGACAGCGCGGUGGAGGGGCGGGCAUGUGGUGGUUGGUUUGCACACAGUGGAGGUGUGGGGCGCGCCCGUGGUUGUGGUUGGUCUGCCGGCGAGGACGCGGCGGAGGCGCAGGGCGAGCGUGCGGUCGACGCCGUCCUUCUGGCAACAGCGUGGUGGAGGAAUCUACAUCUCGCACAUCACCCUUCUAUUUGUCUCUCCGCGACGCCGGCUGUGUUGGCCAUGAUCUUCUACCAGCGCGGCGCAGUGCCUCCACAGAUGCAUGGGCGGAGCAGAGCCGGGACGGUCCCCUUCUGCUUCCACUGUCUCCACGGUCGCCCACCUCCAUGCACCUGCUAAUGCCCCUGCCCUGCAGCCAACCGCCAGACUUGAUGCGGUUGAUGUCCGCCGCCGUGUUCUGCUCGAUAACCGCAGGGUUUGAUCCUGCUCGACAACUGCAGCCAACCGCCACACUUGAUGCAGCAACUGGCCUUGCCGACGACGGAGAAAGCAGGUGCAGAGCGCUGUCGGAUUUGGUCGAGAGGCUGGGCUCGGUGAGGAGGCGGCUGUGGCGGGUGAGUGAAGAAAACUCUAGAUCGGCGACGGCAUGAACUCCAGAGCCACCAGGAUCGAGGAGCGGCAUAGAGCGGUGGACGCCAUCUGGUGAGCCCAGUUAAAUAAGCACGCAGGCUGAAACGAUGAGCUGCAUGAUUGGUGUCCAUUUAGUGUGCAUUUCUGAACUCUGAAUGAUGAGUGUCCUUCUUAGUUUUUGUUGUUCAAUAUAGAGUUUUGCCGAUUUGGGCCAUACUCAGUACACUGUAACAUGGCUCGCUCCGACCACGCCUUGUUUGCCACGGUCGCCUUAGCUUUGAGGCCAUGGAGGUUGUGACCAUGCGACCCUGGUGGCGCCCUCUCCAGCUUAGGUACGUUGCCACUACCUUUCUUUCCGUUGGGCUGUCUUCCGCAUUUUCUCUAUUUUCUCUCAUGUUGUCACUACUUGUGACAAUCAUGCUUCGAGCCAAGCACAAAAACAUUAAGAACAUCUGCACGACAUGGGAGCUUACUACCAUCAAUGAACAUACGGGAGGUUGCUAGCAUCAAUGAAAGAGGCUGGCUGUAAUUGUCUGUGCUCUGUGAUGUUGAGUUAUCCAAGCUGUCUGCCUUAUUGAGGAUUGCAAAAAUAAGUGUCAGUAAGACUUCAGUGGGAAAGGUGUGACAGAUUAUGUGUUUCAUUUUCUUAUCUGUCAGUUUUCCCCGCUGACUUGAAUUGAGUAUUGAUUGGAUUCGUUAGUUCUUCCUACUAUCCUAAUUGAUUUAUAUGCAUAAAUUGUUAUUUGAGCAGGAGAUUAGCUGAUGUGUCUAGGUGUGCCAUUCUGUCAUAUAUAUAUAAACUAAUACUUGCCUCUUUAUCAUCUUGGAUCGUGAUUCCUAUUUUAUGCAUUAAGGAAACAAUACGUAUGAAAAUAUGCACUUUUAUUUACUUUAAAUAUAUUGAUGAAGUGCUUCAGUUUUAGCUACAGUUUUAGUUCCCAUUUGUACUUCAGUUAGGUCCUUAUGUCUACAAGGAGAGAAAUUAUUACUUAAAGUUCUGAAUUGGUGUGCAUAUAAUACAGUGAGAUGUACCUCUAACUGGUUCUUCCAUUUCAUUUCUGUCCUCCCUUUAGAUUAAGUAAAUUGAUGAAAACCUGUUUUUUUUGCUUUAUCUCUUCCUUUACUGUAUGACAUGAGAAGACAAAAAAAUCAACCAGCUGAUGCCAUUUAAACGACCUUUGUGAUUUGUAAAAUAAUAUAAUCAAUGCAUCAGAUAUAGAAUUGGUCCCGGCUUAACUUCAAAUAGUCUGUUCUCCAACUUUGUUACUUAGGUUUCCCCCCAUGAUCAGUGGGUCACUGCUGAUUUGGUCCUGGUGAAGUGUGUUGGGCUAGGAGGGGCGCAGUGACAUUGAUGCUUACUUGAGGACAAAGGUCGCUUGAGAACGGAUGGAGGAGCUGAUGCAUGCAAGAUAAUAGUAUCUUGCCAAGGCAAAUACAAUGUAAGACUUCACACCAGACAAUUCCAUUGAUAAUUUCAGAGGACGGUUGAAGGAAGGUUCAGUUUACAUGUUUGAGAUGUUCAACGUGAUUCAUUUUUUCCGUCUCAUGUGCAUGAGCUUGCUUCUUCGCUGGCGUGGUAUUAUGUGCUUUCGGAUUUACCAUCUGGUCUGCACUGAGAUGGGCAUGAAUGCGUGAUGUUUGGGUCACUGUC